AUUACUCCUACGGGAGGCAGCAGUGGGGAAUUUUGCGCAAUGGGCGAAAGCCUGACGCAGCAACGCCGCGUGAGUGAUGAAGGCUUUCGGGUCGUAAAGCUCUGUCAAGGGGAAAGAAGUGUAGAGUGGUUAAUACCCGCUUUACUUGACGGUACCCCUGAAGGAAGCACCGGCUAACUCCGUGCCAGCAGCCGCGGUAAUACGGGGGGUGCAAGCGUUGUUCGGAUUUAUUGGGCGUAAAGCGCGUGUAGGCGGUUUGUUAAGUCUGAUGUGAAAGCCCUGGGCUCAACCCAGGAAGUGCAUUGGAUACUGGCAGACUUGAAUACGGGAGAGGGUAGUGGAAUUCCUGGUGUAGGAGUGAAAUCCGUAGAUAUCAGGAGGAACACCGGUGGCGAAGGCGGCUGCCUGGACCGAUAUUGACGCUGAGACGCGAAAGCGUGGGUAGCAAACAGGAUUAGAUACCCUGGUAGUCAAU
rnacentral:rRNA from 1 species